GGUUAGGGUUGGGCUUGGAGCUAGGAUUUUUCUGAGUGCAAUGAACCAACUCCCGAGUCUCUAGGACGUUCCUAAAAAAUUUUUAUUUUUUCCCAUAGGAAUGCAUGGGUUAGGGUUAGGGUUAGGAUUGGAGCUAGGGUUAGGGUAAGGGUUAGGGUUAGUGUUGGAGCUAGGGUUAGGGUUGGGCUUGGAGCUAGGAUUUUUCUGAGUGCAAUGAACCAACUCCCGAGUCUCUAGGACGUUCCCAAAAAAAUUUGAUUUUUUCCCAUAGGAAUGCAUGGGUUAGGGUUAGGGUUAGGGAUGGAGCUAGGGUUAGGGUUAGGGUUAGGGUUGGAGUUAGGGUUAGUGUUGGAGCUAGGGUUAGGGUUGGGCUUGGAGCUAGGAUUGUUCUGAGUCCACUGAACCAACUCCCGAGUCUCUAGGACGUUCCUAAAAAAAUUUGAUUUUUCCCAUAGGAAUGCAUGGGUUAUGGUUAGGGUUAGGGUUAGGGUUGGAGCUAGGGUUAGGGUUAGGGUUAGGGUUGGAGUUAGGGUUAGUGUUGGAGCUAGGGUUAGGGUUGGGCUUGGAGCUAGGAUUUUUCUGAGUGCACUGAACCAACUCCCAAGUCUCUAGGACGUUCCUAAAAAAAUUUGAUUUUUUCCCAUAGGAAUGCAAGGGUUAGGGUUAGGGUCAGGGUUAGGGUUGGAGCUAGGGUUAGGGUUAGGGUUAGGGUUGGAGUUAGGGUUAGUGUUGGAGCUAGGGUUAGGGUUGGGCUUGGAGCUAGGAUUUUUCUGAGUGCAAUGAACCAACUCCCGAGUCUCUAGGACGUUCCUAAAAAAAUUUGAUUUUUUCCCAUAGGAAUGCAUGGGUUAGGGUUAGGGUUAGGGUUAGGGUUGGAGCUAGGGUUAGGGUUAGGGUUAGGGUUGGAGUUAGGGUUAGUGUUGGAGCUAGGGUUAGGGUUGGGCUUGGAGCUAGGAUUUUUCGGAGUGCAAUGAACCAACUCCCGAGUCUCUAGGACGUUCCCAAAAAAAUUUGAUUUUUUCCCAUAGGAAUGCAUGGGUUAGGGUUAGGGUUAGGGAUGGAGCUAGGGUUAGGGUUAGGGUUAGGGUUGGAGUUAGGGUUAGUGUUGGAGCUAGGGUUAGGGUUGGGCUUGGAGCUAGGAUUGUUCUGAGUCCACUGAACCAACUCCCGAGUCUCUAGGACGUUCCUAAAAAAAUUUGAUUUUUCCCAUAGGAAUGCAUGGGUUAGGGUUAGGGUUAGGGUUAGGGUUGGAGCUAGGGUUAGGGUUAGGGUUAGGGUUGGAGUUAGGGUUAGUGUUGGAGCUAGGGUUAGGGUUGGGCUUGGAGCUAGGAUUUUUCUGAGUGCACUGAACCAACUCCCAAGUCUCUAGGACGUUCCUAAAAAAAUUUGAUUUUUUCCCAUAGGAAUGCAUGGGUUAGGGUUAGGGUCAGGGUUAGGGUUGGAGCUAGGGUUAGGGUUAGGGUUAGGGUUGGAGUUAGGGUUAGUGUUGGAGCUAGGGUUAGGGUUGGGCUUGGAGCUAGGAUUUUUCUGAGUGCAAUGAACCAACUCCCGAGUCUCUAGGACGUUCCUAAAAAAAUUUGAUUUUUUCCCAUAGGAAUGCAUGGGUUAGGGUUAGGGUUAGGGUUAGGGUUGGAGCUAGGGUUAGGGUUAGGGUUAGGGUUGGAGUUAGGGUUAGUGUUGGAGCUAGGGUUAGGGUUGGGCUUGGAGCUAGGAUUUUUCUGAGUGCAAUGAACCAACUCCCGAGUCUCUAGGACGUUCCUAAAAAAUUUUUAUUUUUUCCCAUAGGAAUGCAUGGGUUAGGGUUAGGGUUAGGGUUGGAGCUAGGGUUAGGGUUAGGGUUGGGUUAGGGUUAGUGUUGGAGCUAGGGUUAGGGUUGGGCUUGGAGCUAGGAUUUUUCUGAGUGCAAUGAACCAACUCCCGAGUCUCUAGGACGUUCCCAAAAAAAUUUGAUUUUUUCCCAUAGGAAUGCAUGGGUUAGGGUUAGGGUUAGGGUUGGAGCUAGGGUUAGGGUUAGGGUUAGGGUUGGAGUUAGGGUUAGUGUUGGAGCUAGGGUUAGGGUUGGGCUUGGAGCUAGGAUUUUUCUGAGUGCAAUGAACCAACUCCCGAGUCUCUAGGACGUUCCUAAAAAAAUUUGAUUUUUUCCCAUAGGAAUGCAUGGGUUAGGGUUAGGGUUAGGGUUUGAGCUAGGGUUAGGGUUAGGGUUAGGGUUGGAGUUAGGGUUAGUGUUGGAGCUAGGGUUAGGGUUGGGCUUGGAGCUAGGAUUUUUCUGAGUGCACUGAACCAACUCCCGAGUCUCUAGGACGUUCCUAAAAAAAUUUGAUUUUUUCCCAUAGGAAUGCAUGGGUUAGGGUUAGGGUUAGGGUUGGAGCUAGGGUUAGGGUUAGGGUUAGGGUUGGAGUUAGGGUUAGUGUUGGAGCUAGGGUUAGGGUUGGGCUUGGAGCUAGGAUUUUUCUGAGUCCACUGAACCAACUCCCGAGUCUCUAGGACGUUCCUAAAAAAAUUUGAUUUUUUCCCAUAGGAAUGCAUGGGUUAGGGUUAGGGUUAGGGUUAGGGUUGGAGCUAGGGUUAGGGUUAGGGUUAGGGUUGGAGUUAGGGUUAGUGUUGGAGCUAGGGUUAGGGUUGGGCUUGGAGCUAGGAUUUUUCUGAGUGCACUGAACCAACUCCCAAGUCUCUAGGACGUUCCUAAAAAAAUUUGAUUUUUUCCCAUAGGAAUGCAUGGGUUAGGGUUAGGGUUAGGGUUAGGGUUGGAGCUAGGGUUAGGGUUGGAGUUAGGGUUAGUGUUGGAGCUAGGGUUAGGGUUGGGCUUGGAGCUAGGAUUUUUCUGAGUGCAAUGAACCAACUCCCGAGUCUCUAGGACGUUCCUAAAAAAAUUUGAUUUUUUCCCAUAGGAAUGCAUGGGUUAGGGUUAGGGUUAGGGUUGGAGCUAGGGUUAGGGUUAGGGUUAGGGUUGGAGUUAGGGUUAGUGUUGGAGCUAGGGUUAGGGUUGGGCUUGGAGCUAGGAUUUUUCUGAGUGCAAUGAACCAACUCCCGAGUCUCUAGGACGUUCCUAAAAAAAUUUGAUUUUUUCCCAUAGGAAUGCAUGGGUUAGGGUUAGGGUUAGGGUUGGAGCUAGGGUUAGGGUUAGGGUUAGGGUUGGAGUUAGGGUUAGUGUUGGAGCUAGGGUUAGGGUUGGGCUUGGAGCUAGGAUUUUUCUGAGUGCACUGAACCAACUCCCGAGUCUCUAGGACGUUCCUAAAAAAAUUUGAUUUUUUCCCAUAGUAAUGCAUGGGUUAGGGUUAGGGUUAGGGUUGGAGCUAGGGUUAGGGUUAGGGUUAGGGUUGGAGUUAGGGUUAGUGUUGGAGCUAGGGUUAGGGUUGGGCUUGGAGCUAGGAUUUUUCUGAGUGCAAUGAACCAACUCCCGAGUCUCUAGGACGUUCCUAAAAAAUUUUUAUUUUUUCCCAUAGGAAUGCAUGGGUUAGGGUUAGGGUUAGGGUUGGAGCUAGGGUUAGGGUUAGGGUUAGGGUUGGAGUUAGGGUUAGUGUUGGAGCUAGGGUUAGGGUUGGGCUUGGAGCUAGGAUUUUUCUGAGUGCAAUGAACCAACUCCCGAGUCUCUAGGACGUUCCUAAAAAAAUUUGAUUUUUUCCCAUAGGAAUGCAUGGGUUAGGGUUAGGGUUAGGGUUGGAGCUAGGGUUAGGGUUAGGGUUAGGGUUGGAGUUAGGGUUAGUGUUGGAGCUAGGGUUAGGGUUGGGCUUGGAGCUAGGAUUUUUCUGAGUGCAAUGAACCAACUCCCGAGUCUCUAGGACGUUCCUAAAAAAAUUUGAUUUUUUCCCAUAGGAAUGCAUGGGUUAGGGUUAGGGUUAGGGUUGGAGCUAGGGUUAGGGUUAGGGUUAGGGUUGGAGUUAGGGUUAGUGUUGGAGCUAGGGUUAGGGUUGGGCUUGGAGCUAGGAUUUUUCUGAGUGCAAUGAACCAACUCCCGAGUCUCUAGGACGUUCCUAAAAAAAUUUGAUUUUUUCCCAUAGGAAUGCAUGGGUUAGGGUUAGGGUUAGGGUUGGAGCUAGGGUUAGGGUUAGGGUUAGGGUUGGAGUUAGGGUUAGUGUUGGAGCUAGGGUUAGGGUUGGGCUUGGAGCUAGGAUUUUUCUGAGUGCAAUGAACCAACUCCCGAGUCUCUAGGACGUUCCUAAAAAAAUUUGAUUUUUUCCCAUAGGAAUGCAUGGGUUAGGGUUAGGGUUAGGGUUGGAGCUAGGGUUAGGGUUAGGGUUAGGGUUGGAGUUAGGGUUAGUGUUGGAGCUAGGGUUAGGGUUGGGCUUGGAGCUAGGAUUUUUCUGAGUGCAAUGAACCAACUCCCGAGUCUCUAGGACGUUCCUAAAAAAAUUUGAUUUUUUCCCAUAGGAAUGCAUGGGUUAGGGUUAGGGUUAGGGUUGGAGUUUAGGGUUAGGGUUAGGGUUGGAGUUAGGGUUAGUGUUGGAGCUAGGGUUAGGGUUGGGCUUGGAGCUAGGAUUUUUCUGAGUGCAAUGAACCAACUCCCGAGUCUCUAGGACGUUCCUAAAAAAAUUUGAUUUUUUCCCAUAGGAAUGCAUGGGUUAGGGUUAGGGUUAGGGUUGGAGCUAGGGUUAGGGUUAGGGUUAGGGUUGGAGUUAGGGUUAGUGUUGGAGCUAGGGUUAGGGUUGGGCUUGGAGCUAGGAUUUUUCUGAGUGCACUGAACCAACUCCCGAGUCUCUAGGACGUUCCUAAAAAAAUUUGAUUUUUUCCCAUAGGAAUGCAUGGGUUAGGGUUAGGGUCAGGGUAGGGUUGGAGCUAGGGUUAGGGUUAGGGUUAGGGUUGGAGUUAGGGUUAGUGUUGGAGCUAGGGUUAGGGUUGGGCUUGGAGCUAGGAUUUUUCUGAGUGCAAUGAACCAACUCCCGAGUCUCUAGGACGUUCCUAAAAAAAUUUGAUUUUUUCCCAUAGGAAUGCAUGGGUUAGGGUUAGGGUUAGGGUUGGAGCUAGGGUUAGGGUUAGGGUUAGGGUUGGAGUUAGGGUUAGUGUUGGAGCUAGGGUUAGGGUUGGGCUUGGAGCUAGGAUUUUUCUGAGUGCAAUGAACCAACUCCCGAGUCUCUAGGACAUUCCUAAAAAAUUUGAUUUUUUCCCAUAGGAAUGCAUGGGUUAGGGUUAGGGUUAGGGUUGGAGCUAGGGUUAGGGUUAGGGUUAGGGUUGGAAUUAGGGUUAGUGUUGGAGCUAGGGUUAGGGUUGGGCUUGGAGCUAGGAUUUUUCGGAGUGCAAUGAACCAACUCCCGAGUCUCUAGGACGUUCCUAAAAAAAUUUGAUUUUUUCCCAUAGUAAUGCAUGGGUUAGGGUUAGGGUUAGGGUUGGAGCUAGGGUUAGGGUUAGGGUUAGGGUUGGAGUUAGGGUUAGUGUUGGAGCUAGGGUUAGGGUUGGGCUUGGAGCUAGGAUUUUUCUGAGUGCAAUGAACCAACUCCCGAGUCUCUAGGACGUUCCUAAAAAAAUUUGAUUUUUCCCAUAGGAAUGCAUGGGUUAGGGUUAGGGUUAGGGUUGGAGCUAGGGUUAGGGUUAGGGUUAGGGUUGGAGUUAGGGUUAGUGUUGGAGCUAGGGUUAGGGUUGGGCUUGGAGCUAGGAUUUUUCUGAGUGCAAUGAACCAACUCCCGAGUCUCUAGGACGUUCCUAAAAAAAUUUGAUUUUUUCCCAUAGGAAUGCAUGGGUUAGGGUUAGGGUUAGGGUUGGAGCUAGGGUUAGGGUUAGGGUUAGGGUUGGAGUUAGGGUUAGUGUUGGAGCUAGGGUUAGGGUUGGGCUUGGAGCUAGGAUUUUUCUGAGUGCAAUGAACCAACUCCCGAGUCUCUAGGACGUUCCUAAAAAAAUUUGAUUUUUUCCCAUAGGAAUGCAUGGGUUAGGGUUAGGGUUGGAGGGGUUAGGGUUAGUUAGGGUUAGUGUUGGAGCUAGGGUUAGGGUUGGGCUUGGAGCUAGGAUUUUUCUGAGUGCAAUGAACCAACUCCCGAGUCUCUAGGACGUUCCUAAAAAAAUUUGAUUUUUUCCCAUAGGAAUGCAUGGGUUAGGGUUAGGGUUAGGGUUAGGGUUGGAGCUAGGGUUAGGGUUAGGGUUAGGGUUGGAGUUAGGGUUAGUGUUGGAGCUAGGGUUAGGGUUGGGCUUGGAGCUAGGAUUUUUCUGAGUGCAAUGAACCAACUCCCGAGUCUCUAGGACGUUCCUAAAAAAAUUUGAUUUUUUCCCAUAGGAAUGCAUGGGUUAGGGUUAGGGUUAGGGUUGGAGCUAGGGUUAGGGUUAGGGUUAGGGUUGGAGUUAGGGUUAGUGUUGGAGCUAGGGUUAGGGUUGGGCUUGGAGCUAGGAUUUUUCUGAGUGCAAUGAACCAACUCCCGAGUCUCUAGGACGUUCCUAAAAAAAUUAGAUUUUUUCCCAUAGGAAUGCAUGGGUUAGGGUUUAGGGUUAGGGUUGGAGCUAGGGUUAGGGUUAGGGUUAGGGUUGGAGUUAGGGUUAGUGUUGGAGCUAGGGUUAGGGUUGGGCUUGGAGCUAGGAUUUUUCUGAGUGCACUGAACCAACUCCCGAGUCUCUAGGACGUUCCUAAAAAAAUUUGAUUUUUUCCCAUAGGAAUGCAUGGGUUAGGGUUAGGGUUAGGGUUAGGGUUAGGGUUGGAGUUAGGGUUAGUGUUGGAGCUAGGGUUAGGGUUGGGCUUGGAGCUAGGAUUUUUCUGAGUGCAAUGAACCAACUCCCGAGUCUCUAGGACGUUCCUAAAAAAAUUUGAUUUUUUCCCAUAGGAAUGCAUGGGUUAGGGUUAGGGUUAGGGUUGGAGCUAGGGUUAGGGUUAGGGUUAGGGUUAGGGUUGGAGUUAGGGUUAGUGUUGGAGCUAGGGUUAGGGUUGGGCUUGGAGCUAGGAUUUUUCUGAGUGCAAUGAACCAACUCCCGAGUCUCUAGGACGUUCCUAAAAAAAUUUGAUUUUUUCCCAUAGGAAUGCAUGGGUUAGGGUUAGGGUUAGGGUUGGAGCUAGGGUUAGGGUUAGGGUUAGGGUUGGAGUUAGGGUUAGUGUUGGAGCUAGGGUUAGGGUUGGGCUUGGAGCUAGGAUUUUUCUGAGUGCACUGAACCAACUCCCGAGUCUCUAGGACGUUCCUAAAAAAAUUUGAUUUUUUCCCAUAGGAAUGCAUGGGUUAGGGUUAGGGUUAGGGUUGGAGCUAGGGUUAGGGUUAGGGUUAGGGUUGGAGUUAGGGUUAGUGUUGGAGCUAGGGUUAGGGUUGGGCUUGGAGCUAGGAUUUUUCUGAGUGCACUGAACCAACUCCCGAGUCUCUAGGACGUUCCUAAAAAAAUUUGAUUUUUUCCCAUAGGAAUGCAUGGGUUAGGGUUAGGGUUAGGGUUAGGGUUGGAGCUAGGGUUAGGGUUAGGGUUAGGGUUGGAGUUAGGGUUAGUGUUGGAGCUAGGGUUAGGGUUGGGCUUGGAGCUAGGAUUUUUCUGAGUGCAAUGAACCAACUCCCGAGUCUCUAGGACGUUCCUAAAAAAAUUUGAUUUUUUCCCAUAGGAAUGCAUGGGUUAGGGUUAGGGUUAGGGUUAGGGUUGGAGCUAGGGUUAGGGUUAGGGUUAGGGUUGGAGUUAGGGUUAGUGUUGGAGCUAGGGUUAGGGUUGGGGUUAGGGUUGGAGUUAGGGUUAGUGUUGGAGCUAGGGUUAGGGUUGGGCUUGGAGCUAGGAUUUUUCUGAGUGCAAUGAACCAACUCCCGAGUCUCUAGGACGUUCCUAAAAAAAUUUGAUUUUUUCCCAUAGGAAUGCAUGGGUUAGGGUUAGGGUUAGGGUUAGGGUUGGAGCUAGGGUUAGGGUUAGGGUUAGGGUUGGAGUUAGGGUUAGUGUUGGAGCUAGGGUUAGGGUUGGGCUUGGAGCUAGGAUUUUUCUGAGUGCAAUGAACCAACUCCCGAGUCUCUAGGACGUUCCUAAAAAAAUUUGAUUUUUUCCCAUAGGAAUGCAUGGGUUAGGGUUAGGGUUAGGGUUGGAGCUAGGGUUAGGGUUAGGGUUAGGGUUGGAGUUAGGGUUAGUGUUGGAGCUAGGGUUAGGGUUGGGCUUGGAGCUAGGAUUUUUCUGAGUGCAAUGAACCAACUCCCGAGUCUCUAGGACGUUCCUAAAAAAAUUUGAUUUUUUCCCAUAGGAAUGCAUGGGUUAGGGUUAGGGUUGGAGUUAGGGUUAGUGUUGGAGCUAGGGUUAGGGUUGGGCUUGGAGCUAGGAUUUUUCUGAGUGCAAUGAACCAACUCCCGAGUCUCUAGGACGUUCCCAAAAAAAAAUUUGAUUUUUUCCCAUAGGAAUGCAUGGGUUAGGGUUAGGGUUAGGGUUAGGGUUGGAGCUAGGGUUAGGGUUAGGGUUAGGGUUGGAGUUAGGGUUAGUGUUGGAGCUAGGGUUAGGGUUGGGCUUGGAGCUAGGAUUUUUCUGAGUGCAAUGAACCAACUCCCGAGUCUCUAGGACGUUCCUAAAAAAAUUUGAUUUUUUCCCAUAGGAAUGCAUGGGUUAGGGUUAGGGUUAGGGUUAGGGUUGGAGCUAGGGUUAGGGUUAGGGUUAGGGUUGGAGUUAGGGUUAGUGUUGGAGCUAGGGUUAGGGUUGGGCUUGGAGCUAGGAUUUUCUGAGUGCACUGAACCAACUCCCGAGUCUCUAGGACGUUCCUAAAAAAAUUUGAUUUUUUCCCAUAGGAAUGCAUGGGUUAGGGUUAGGGUUAGGGUUAGGGUUGGAGCUAGGGUUAGGGUUAGGGUUAGGGUUGGAGUUAGGGUUAGUGUUGGAGCUAGGGUUAGGGUUGGGGUUAGGGUUGGAGUUAGGGUUAGUGUUGGAGCUAGGGUUAGGGUUGGGCUUGGAGCUAGGAUUUUUCUGAGUGCACUGAACCAACUCCCGAGUCUCUAGGACGUUCCUAAAAAAAUUUGAUUUUUUCCCAUAGGAAUGCAUGGGUUAGGGUUAGGGUUAGGGUUAGGGUUGGAGCUAGGGUUAGGGUUAGGGUUAGGGUUGGAGUUAGGGUUAGUGUUGGAGCUAGGGUUAGGGUUGGGCUUGGAGCUAGGAUUUUUCUGAGUGCAAUGAACCAACUCCCGAGUCUCUAGGACGUUCCUAAAAAAAUUUGAUUUUUUCCCAUAGUAAUGCAUGGGUUAGGGUUAGGGUUAGGGUUGGAGCUAGGGUUAGGGUUAGGGUUAGGGUUGGAGUUAGGGUUAGUGUUGGAGCUAGGGUUAGGGUUGGGCUUGGAGCUAGGAUUUUUCUGAGUGCAAUGAACCAACUCCCGAGUCUCUAGGACGUUCCUAAAAAAAUUUGAUUUUUUCCCAUAGUAAUGCAUGGGUUAGGGUUAGGGUUAGGGUUGGAGCUAGGGUUAGGGUUAGGGUUAGGGUUGGAGUUAGGGUUAGUGUUGGAGCUAGGGUUAGGGUUGGGCUUGGAGCUAGGAUUUUUCUGAGUGCACUGAACCAACUCCCGAGUCUCUAGGACGUUCCUAAAAAAAUUUGAUUUUUUCCCAUAGGAAUGCAUGGGUUAGGGUUAGGGUUAGGGUUGGAGCUAGGGUUAGGGUUAGGGUUAGGGUUGGAGUUAGGGUUAGUGUUGGAGCUAGGGUUAGGGUUGGGCUUGGAGCUAGGAUUUUUCUGAGUGCACUAAACCAACUCCCGAGUCUCUAGGACGUUCCUAAAAAAAUUUGAUUUUUUCCCAUAGGAUUGCAUGGGUUAGGGUUAGGGUUAGGGUUAGGGUUGGAGCUAGGGUUAGGGUUAGGGUUAGGGUUGGAGUUAGGGUUAGUGUUGGAGCUAGGGUUAGGGUUGGGCUUGGAGCUAGGAUUUUUCUGAGUGCAAUGAACCAACUCCCGAGUCUCUAGGACGUUCCUAAAAAAAUUUGAUUUUUUCCCAUAGGAAUGCAUGGGUUAGGGUUAGGGUUAGGGUUGGAGCUAGGGUUAGGGUUAGGGUUGGAAUUAGGGUUAGUGUUGGAGCUAGGGUUAGGGUUGGGCUUGGAGCUAGGAUUUUUCUGAGUGCAAUGAACCAACUCCCGAGUCUCUAGGACGUUCCUAAAAAAAUUUGAUUUUUUCCCAUAGUAAUGCAUGGGUUAGGGUUAGGGUUAGGGUUGGAGCUAGGGUUAGGGUUAGGGUUAGGGUUGGAGUUAGGGUUAGUGUUGGAGCUAGGGUUAGGGUUGGGCUUGGAGCUAGGAUUUUUCUGAGUGCAAUGAACCAACUCCCGAGUCUCUAGGACGUUCCUAAAAAAUUUGAUUUUUUCCCAUAGGAAUGCAUGGGUUAGGGUUAGGGUUAGGGUUGGAGCUAGGGUUAGGGUUAGGGUUAGGGUUGGAGUUAGGGUUAGUGUUGGAGCUAGGGUUAGGGUUGGGCUUGGAGCUAGGAUUUUUCUGAGUGCACUGAACCAACUCCCGAGUCUCUAGGACGUUCCUAAAAAAAUUUGAUUUUUUCCCAUAGGAAUGCAUGGGUUAGGGUUAGGGUUAGGGUUGGAGCUAGGGUUAGGGUUAGGGUUAGGGUUGGAGUUAGGGUUAGUGUUGGAGCUAGGGUUAGGGUUGGGCUUGGAGCUAGGAUUUUUCUGAGUGCAAUGAACCAACUCCCGAGUCUCUAGGACGUUCCUAAAAAAAUUUGAUUUUUUCCCAUAGUAAUGCAUGGGUUAGGGUUAGGGUUAGGGUUGGAGCUAAGGUUAGGGUUAGGGUUAGGGUUAGAGUUAGGGUUAGUGUUGGAGCUAGGGUUAGGGUUGGGCUUGGAGCUAGGAUUUUUCUGAGUGCAAUGAACCAACUCCCGAGUCUCUAGGACGUUCCUAAAAAAAUUUGAUUUUUUCCCAUAGGAAUGCAUGGGUUAGGGUUAGGGUUAGGGUUGGAGCUAGGGUUAGGGUUAGGGUUAGGGUUGGAGUUAGGGUUAGUGUUGGAGCUAGGGUUAGGGUUGGGCUUGGAGCUAGGAUUUUUCGGAGUGCAAUGAACCAACUCCCGAGUCUCUAGGACGUUCCUAAAAAAAAAUUUGAUUUUUUCCCAUAGGAAUGCAUGGGUUAGGGUUAGGGUUAGGGUUGGAGCUAGGGUUAGGGUUAGGGUUAGGGUUGGAGUUAGGGUUAGUGUUGGAGCUAGGGUUAGGGUUGGGCUUGGAGCUAGGAUUUUUCUGAGUGCACUGAACCAACUCCCGAGUCUCUAGGACGUUCCUAAAAAAAAUUUGAUUUUUCCCAUAGGAAUGCAUGGGUUAGGGUUAGGGUUAGGGUUAGGGUUGGAGCUAGGGUUAGGGUUAGGGUUAGGGUUGGAGUUAGGGUUAGUGUUGGAGCUAGGGUUAGGGUUGGGCUUGGAGCUAGGAUUUUUCUGAGUGCAAUGAACCAACUCCCGAGUCUCUAGGACGUUCCUAAAAAAAUUUGAUUUUUUCCCAUAGGAAUGCAUGGGUUAGGGUUAGGGUUAGGGUUGGAGCUAGGGUUAGGGUUAGGGUUAGGGUUGGAAUUAGGGUUAGUGUUGGAGCUAGGGUUAGGGUUGGGCUUGGAGCUAGGAUUUUUCUGAGUGCAAUGAACCAACUCCCGAGUCUCUAGGACGUUCCUUAAAAAAAAUUGAUUUUUUCCCAUAGUAAUGCAUGGGUUAGGGUUAGGGUUAGGGUUGGAGCUAGGGUUAGGGUUAGGGUUAGGGUUGGAGUUAGGGUUAGUGUUGGAGCUAGGGUUAGGGUUGGGCUUGGAGCUAGGAUUUUUCUGAGUGCAAUGAACCAACUCCCGAGUCUCUAGGACGUUCCUAAAAAAAUUUGAUUUUUUCCCAUAGGAAUGCAUGGGUUAGGGUUAGGGUUAGGGUUGGAGCUAGGGUUAGGGUUAGGGUUAGGGUUGGAGUUAGGGUUAGUGUUGGAGCUAGGGUUAGGGUUGGGCUUGGAGCUAGGAUUUUUCUGAGUGCACUGAACCAACUCCCGAGUCUCUAGGACGUUCCUAAAAAAAUUUGAUUUUUUCCCAUAGGAAUGCAUGGGUUAGGGUUAGGGUUAGGGUUGGAGCUAGGGUUAGGGUUAGGGUUAGGGUUGGAGUUAGGGUUAGUGUUGGAGCUAGGGUUAGGGUUGGGCUUGGAGCUUUAGGAUUUUUCUGUUGAACCAACUCCCGAGUCUAGGGUUAGGGUUGGAGCUAGGGUUAGGGUUAGGGUUAGGGUUGGAAUUAGGGUUAGUGUUGGAGCUAGGGUUAGGGUUGGGCUUGGAGCUAGGAUUUUUCUGAGUGCAAUGAACCAACUCCCGAGUCUCUAGGACGUUCCUUAAAAAAAAUUUGAUUUUUUCCCAUAGUAAUGCAUGGGUUAGGGUUAGGGUUAGGGUUGGAGCUAGGGUUAGGGUUAGGGUUAGGGUUGGAGUUAGGGUUAGUGUUGGAGCUAGGGUUAGGGUUGGGCUUGGAGCUAGGAUUUUUCUGAGUGCAAUGAACCAACUCCCGAGUCUCUAGGACGUUCCUAAAAAAAUUUGAUUUUUUCCCAUAGGAAUGCAUGGGUUAGGGUUAGGGUUAGGGUUAGGGUUGGAGCUAGGGUAAGGGUUAGGGUUAGGGUUGGAGUUAGGGUUAGUGUUGGAGCUAGGGUUAGGGUUGGGCUUGGAGCUAGGAUUUUUCUGAGUGCAAUGAACCAACUCCCGAGUCUCUAGGACGUUCCUAAAAAAAUUUGAUUUUUUCCCAUAGGAAUGCAUGGGUUAGGGUUAGGGUUAGGGUUGGAGCUAGGGUUAGGGUUAGGGUUAGGGUUGGAGUUAGGGUUAGUGUUGGAGCUAGGGUUAGGGUUGGGCUUGGAGCUAGGAUUUUUCUGAGUGCACUGAACCAACUCCCGAGUCUCUAGGACGUUCCUAAAAAAUUUGAUUUUUUUCCCAUAGGAAUGCAUGGGUUAGGGUUAGGGUUAGGGUUGGAGCUAGGGUUAGGGUUAGGGUUAGGGUUGGAGUUAGGGUUAGUGUUGGAGCUAGGGUUAGGGUUGGGCUUGGAGCUAGGAUUUUUCUGAGUGCACUGAACCAACUCCCGAGUCUCUAGGACGUUCCUAAAAAAAUUUGAUUUUUUCCCAUAGGAAUAUAUGGGUUAGGGUUAGGGUUAGGGUUAGGGUUGGAGCUAGGGUUAGGGUUAGGGUUAGGGUUGGAGUUAGGGUUAGUGUUGGAGCUAGGGUUAGGGUUGGGCUUGGAGCUAGGAUUUUUUUCUGAGUGCAAUGAACCAACUCCCGAGUCUCUAGGACGUUCCUAAAAAAAUUUGAUUUUUUCCCAUAGGAAUGCAUGGGUUAGGGUUAGGGUUAGGGUUGGAGCUAGGGUUAGGGUUAGGGUUAGGGUUGGAGUUAGGGUUAGUGUUGGAGCUAGGGUUAGGGUUGGGCUUGGAGCUAGGAUUUUUCUGAGUGCACUGAACCAACUCCCGAGUCUCUAGGACGUUCCUAAAAAAAUUUUAUUUUUUCCCAUAGGAAUGCAUGGGUUAGGGUUAGGGUUAGGGUUAGGGUUGGAGCUAGGGUUAGGGUUAGGGUUAGGGUUGGAGUUAGGGUUAGUGUUGGAGCUAGUGUUAGGGUUGGGCUUGGAGCUAGGAUUUUUCUGAGUGCAAUGAACCAACUCCCGAGUCUCUAGGACGUUCCUAAAAAAAUUUGAUUUUUUCCCAUAGGAAUGCAUGGGUUAGGGUUAGGGUUAGGGUUGGAGCUAGGGUUAGGGUUAGGGUUAGGGUUGGAGUUAGGGUUAGUGUUGGAGCUAGGGUUAGGGUUGGGCUUGGAGCUAGGAUUUUUCUGAGUGCACUGAACCAACUCCCGAGUCUCUAGGACGUUCCUAAAAAAAUUUGAUUUUUUCCCAUAGGAAUGCAUGGGUUAGGGUUAGGGUUAGGGUUGGAGCUAGGGUUAGGGUUAGGGUUAGGGUUGGAGUUAGGGUUAGUGUUGGAGCUAGGGUUAGGGUUGGGCUUGGAGCUAGGAUUUUUCUGAGUGCAAUGAACCAACUCCCGAGUCUCUAGGACGUUCCUAAAAAAAUUUGAUUUUUUCCCAUAGGAAUGCAUGGGUUAGGGUUAGGGUUAGGGUUGGAGCUAGGGUUAGGGUUAGGGUUAGGGUUGGAGUUAGGGUUAGUGUUGGAGCUAGGGUUAGGGUUGGGCUUGGAGCUAGGAUUUUUCUGAGUGCAAUGAACAGACUCCCGAGUCUCUAGGACGUUCCUAAAAAAAUUUGAUUUUUUCCCAUAGGAAUGCAUGGGUUAGGGUUAGGGUUAGGGUUGGAGCUAGGGUUAGGGUUAGGGUUGGAGUUAGGGUUAGUGUUGGAGCUAGGGUUAGGGUUGGGCUUGGAGCUAGGAUUUUUCUGAGUGCACUGAACCAACUCCCGAGUCUCUAGGACGUUCCUAAAAAAAUUUGAUUUUUUCCCAUAGGAAUGCAUGGGUUAGGGUUAGGGUUAGGGUUGGAGCUAGGGUUAGGGUUAGGGUUAGGGUUGGAGUUAGGGUUAGUGUUGGAGCUAGGGUUAGGGUUGGGCUUGGAGCUAGGAUUUUUCUGAGUGCACUGAACCAACUCCCGAGUCUCUAGGACGUUCCUAAAAAAAUUUGAUUUUUUCCCAUAGGAAUGCAUGGGUUAGGGUUAGGGUUAGGGUUAGGGUUGGAGCUAGGGUUAGGGUUAGGGUUAGGGUUGGAGUUAGGGUUAGUGUUGGAGCUAGGGUUAGGGUUGGGCUUGGAGCUAGGAUUUUUCUGAGUGCAAUGAACCAACUCCCGAGUCUCUAGGAUGUUCCUAAAAAAAUUUGAUUUUUUCCCAUAGGAAUGCAUGGGUUAGGGUUAGGGUUAGGGUUGGAGCUAGGGUUAGGGUUAGGGUUAGGGUUGGAAUUAGGGUUAGUGUUGGAGCUAGGGUUAGGGUUGGGCUUGGAGCUAGGAUUUUUCUGAGUGCAAUGAACCAACUCCCGAGUCUCUAGGACGUUCCUAAAAAAAUUUGAUUUUUUCCCAUAUUAAUGCAUGGGUUAGGGUUAGGGUUAGGGUUGGAGCUAGGGUUAGGGUUAGGGUUAGGGUUGGAGUUAGGGUUAGUGUUGGAGCUAGGGUUAGGGUUGGGCUUGGAGCUAGGAUUUUUCUGAGUGCAAUGAACCAACUCCCGAGUCUCUAGGACGUUCCUAAAAAAAUUUGAUUUUUUCCCAUAGGAAUGCAUGGGUUAGGGUUAGGGUUAGGGUUGGAGCUAGGGUUAGGGUUAGGGUUAGGGUUGGAGUUAGGGUUAGUGUUGGAGCUAGGGUUAGGGUUGGGCUUGGAGCUAGGAUUUUUCUGAGUGCAAUGAACCAACUCCCGAGUCUCUAGGACGUUCCUAAAAAAAUUUGAUUUUUUCCCAUAGGAAUGCAUGGGUUAGGGUUAGGGUUAGGGUUGGAGCUAGGGUUAGGGUUAGGGUUAGGGUUGGAGUUAGGGUUAGUGUUGGAGCUAGGGUUAGGGUUGGGCUUGGAGCUAGGAUUUUUCUGAGUGCACUGAACCAACUCCCGAGUCUCUAGGACGUUCCUAAAAAAAUUUGAUUUUUUCCCAUAGUAAUGCAUGGGUUAGGGUUAGGGUUAGGGUUGGAGCUAGGGUUAGGGUUAGGGUUAGGGUUGGAGUUAGGGUUAGUGUUGGAGCUAGGGUUAGGGUUGGGCUUGGAGCUAGGAUUUUUCUGAGUGCAAUGAACCAACUCCCGAGUCUCUAGGACGUUCCUAAAAAAAUUUGAUUUUUUCCCAUAGGAAUGCAUGGGUUAGGGUUAGGGUUAGGGUUGGAGCUAGGGUUAGGGUUAGGGUUAGGGUUGGAGUUAGGGUUAGUGUUGGAGCUAGGGUUAGGGUUGGGCUUGGAGCUAGGAUUUUUCUGAGUGCACUGAACCAACUCCCGAGUCUCUAGGACGUUCCUAAAAAAAUUUGAUUUUUUCCCAUAGGAAUGCAUGGGUUAGGGUUAGGGUUAGGGUUGGAGCUAGGGUUAGGGUUAGGGUUAGGGUUGGAGUUAGGGUUAGUGUUGGAGCUAGGGUUAGGGUUGGGCUUGGAGCUAGGAUUUUUCUGAGUGCAAUGAACCAACUCCCGAGUCUCUAGGACGUUCCUAAAAAAAUUUGAUUUUUUCCCAUAGGAAUGCAUGGGUUAGGGUUAGGGUUAGGGUUGGAGCUAGGGUUAGGGUUAGGGUUAGGGUUGGAGUUAGGGUUAGUGUUGGAGCUAGGGUUAGGGUUGGGCUUGGAGCUAGGAUUUUUCUGAGUGCAAUGAACCAACUCCCGAGUCUCUAGGACGUUCCUAAAAAAAUUUGAUUUUUUCCCAUAGGAAUGCAUGGGUUAGGGUUAGGGUUAGGGUUGGAGCUAGGGUUAGGGUUAGGGUUAGGGUUGGAGUUAGGGUUAGUGUUGGAGCUAGGGUUAGGGUUGGGCUUGGAGCUAGGAUUUUUCUGAGUGCAAUGAACCAACUCCCGAGUCUCUAGGACGUUCCUAAAAAAAUUUAAUUUUUUCCCAUAGGAAUGCAUGGGUUAGGGUUAGGGUUAGGGUUGGAGCUAGGGUUAGGGUUAGGGUUAGGGUUGGAGUUAGGGUUAGUGUUGGAGCUAGGGUUAGGGUUGGGCUUGGAGCUAGGAUUUUUCUGAGUGCAAUGAACCAACUCCCGAGUCUCUAGGACGUUCCUAAAAAAAUUUGAUUUUUUCCCAUAGGAAUGCAUGGGUUAGGGUUAGGGUUAGGGUUGGAGCUAGGGUUAGGGUUAGGGUUAGGGUUGGAAUUAGGGUUAGUGUUGGAGCUAGGGUUAGGGUUGGGCUUGGAGCUAGGAUUUUUCUGAGUGCAAUGAACCAACUCCCGAGUCUCUAGGACGUUCCUAAAAAAAUUUGAUUUUUUCCCAUAGGAAUGCAUGGGUUAGGGUUAGGGUUAGGGUUGGAGCUAGGGUUAGGGUUAGGGUUAGGGUUGGAGUUAGGGUUAGUGUUGGAGCUAGGGUUAGGGUUGGGCUUGGAGCUAGGAUUUUUCUGAGUGCACUGAACCAACUCCCGAGUCUCUAGGACGUUCCUAAAAAAAUUUGAUUUUUUCCCAGAGGAAUGCAUGGGUUAGGGUUAGGGUUAGGGUUAGGGUUGGAGCUAGGGUUAGGGUUAGGGUUAGGGUUGGAGUUAGGGUUAGUGUUGGAGCUAGGGUUAGGGUUGGGCUUGGAGCUAGGAUUUUUCUGAGUGCAAUGAACCAACUCCCGAGUCUCUAGGACGUUCCUAAAAAAAUUAGAUUUUUUUCCCAUAGGAAUGCAUGGGUUAGGGUUAGGGUUAGGGUUGGAGCUAGGGUUAGGGUUAGGGUUAGGGUUGGAGUUAGGGUUAGUGUUGGAGCUAGGGUUAGGGUUGGGCUUGGAGCUAGGAUUUUUCUGAGUGCACUGAACCAACUCCCGAGUCUCUAGGACGUUCCUAAAAAAAUUUGAUUUUUUCCCAUAGGAAUGCAUGGGUUAGGGUUAGGGUUAGGGUUGGAGCUAGGGUUAGGGUUAGGGUUGGAGUUAGGGUUAGUGUUGGAGCUAGGGUUAGGGUUGGGCUUGGAGCUAGGAUUUUUCUGAGUGCACUGAACCAACUCCCGAGUCUCUAGGACGUUCCUAAAAAAAUUUGAUUUUUUCCCAUAGGAAUAUAUGGGUUAGGGUUAGGGUUAGGGUUAGGGUUGGAGCUAGGGUUAGGGUUAGGGUUAGGGUUGGAGUUAGGGUUAGUGUUGGAGCUAGGGUUAGGGUUGGGCUUGGAGCUAGGAUUUUUCUUUCUGAGUGCAAUGAACCAACUCCCGAGUCUCUAGGACGUUCCUAAAAAAAUUUGAUUUUUUCCCAUAGGAAUGCAUGGGUUAGGGUUAGGGUUAGGGUUGGAGCUAGGGUUAGGGUUAGGGUUAGGGUUGGAGUUAGGGUUAGUGUUGGAGCUAGGGUUAGGGUUGGGCUUGGAGCUAGGAUUUUUCUGAGUGCACUGAACCAACUCCCGAGUCUCUAGGACGUUCCUAAAAAAUUUUUAUUUUUUCCCAUAGGAAUGCAUGGGUUAGGGUUAGGGUUAGGGUUAGGGUUGGAGCUAGGGUUAGGGUUAGGGUUAGGGUUGGAGUUAGGGUUAGUGUUGGAGCUAGUGUUAGGGUUGGGCUUGGAGCUAGGAUUUUUCUGAGUGCAAUGAACCAACUCCCGAGUCUCUAGGACGUUCCUAAAAAAAUUUGAUUUUUUCCCAUAGGAAUGCAUGGGUUAGGGUUAGGGUUAGGGUUGGAGCUAGGGUUAGGGUUAGGGUUAGGGUUGGAGUUAGGGUUAGUGUUGGAGCUAGGGUUAGGGUUGGGCUUGGAGCUAGGAUUUUUCUGAGUGCACUGAACCAACUCCCGAGUCUCUAGGACGUUCCUAAAAAAAUUUGAUUUUUUCCCAUAGGAAUGCAUGGGUUAGGGUUAGGGUUAGGGUUGGAGCUAGGGUUAGGGUUAGGGUUAGGGUUGGAGUUAGGGUUAGUGUUGGAGCUAGGGUUAGGGUUGGGCUUGGAGCUAGGAUUUUUCUGAGUGCAAUGAACCAACUCCCGAGUCUCUAGGACGUUCCUAAAAAAAUUUGAUUUUUUCCCAUAGUAAUGCAUGGGUUAGGGUUAGGGUUAGGGUUGGAGCUAGGGUUAGGGUUAGGGUUAGGGUUAGAGUUAGGGUUAGUGUUGGAGCUAGGGUUAGGGUUGGGCUUGGAGCUAGGAUUUUUCUGAGUGCAAUGAACAGACUCCCGAGUCUCUAGGACGUUCCUAAAAAAAUUUGAUUUUUUCCCAUAGGAAUGCAUGGGUUAGGGUUAGGGUUAGGGUUGGAGCUAGGGUUAGGGUUAGGGUUGGAGUUAGGGUUAGUGUUGGAGCUAGGGUUAGGGUUGGGCUUGGAGCUAGGAUUUUUCUGAGUGCACUGAACCAACUCCCGAGUCUCUAGGACGUUCCUAAAAAAAUUUGAUUUUUUCCCAUAGGAAUGCAUGGGUUAGGGUUAGGGUUAGGGUUGGAGCUAGGGUUAGGGUUAGGGUUAGGGUUGGAGUUAGGGUUAGUGUUGGAGCUAGGGUUAGGGUUGGGCUUGGAGCUAGGAUUUUUCUGAGUGCAAUGAACCAACUCCCGAGUCUCUAGGACGUUCCUAAAAAAAUUUGAUUUUUUCCCAUAGGAAUGCAUGGGUUAGGGUUAGGGUUAGGGUUAGGGUUGGAGCUAGGGUUAGGGUUAGGGUUAGGGUUGGAGUUAGGGUUAGUGUUGGAGCUAGGGUUAGGGUUGGGCUUGGAGCUAAGAUUUUUCUGAGUGCAAUGAACCAACUCCCGAGUCUCUAGGAUGUUCCUAAAAAAAUUUGAUUUUUUCCCAUAGGAAUGCAUGGGUUAGGGUUAGGGUUAGGGUUGGAGCUAGGGUUAGGGUUAGGGUUAGGGUUGGAAUUAGGGUUAGUGUUGGAGCUAGGGUUAGGGUUGGGCUUGGAGCUAGGAUUUUUCUGAGUGCAAUGAACCAACUCCCGAGUCUCUAGGACGUUCCUUAAAAAAAUUUGAUUUUUUCCCAUAUUAAUGCAUGGGUUAGGGUUAGGGUUAGGGUUGGAGCUAGGGUUAGGGUUAGGGUUAGGGUUGGAGUUAGGGUUAGUGUUGGAGCUAGGGUUAGGGUUGGGCUUGGAGCUAGGAUUUUUCUGAGUGCAAUGAACCAACUCCCGAGUCUCUAGGACGUUCCUAAAAAAAUUUGAUUUUUUCCCAUAGGAAUGCAUGGGUUAGGGUUAGGGUUAGGGUUGGAGCUAGGGUUAGGGUUAGGGUUAGGGUUGGAGUUAGGGUUAGUGUUGGAGCUAGGGUUAGGGUUGGGCUUGGAGCUAGGAUUUUUCUGAGUGCAAUGAACCAACUCCCGAGUCUCUAGGACGUUCCUAAAAAAAUUUGAUUUUUUCCCAUAGGAAUGCAUGGGUUAGGGUUAGGGUUAGGGUUGGAGCUAGGGUUAGGGUUAGGGUUAGGGUUGGAGUUAGGGUUAGUGUUGGAGCUAGGGUUAGGCUUGGAGCUAGGAUUUUUCUGAGUGCACUGAACCAACUCCCGAGUCUCUAGGACGUUCCUAAAAAAAUUUGAUUUUUUCCCAUAGUAAUGCAUGGGUUAGGGUUAGGGUUAGGGUUGGAGCUAGGGUUAGGGUUAGGGUUAGGGUUGGAGUUAGGGUUAGUGUUGGAGCUAGGGUUAGGGUUGGGCUUGGAGCUAGGAUUUUUCUGAGUGCAAUGAACCAACUCCCGAGUCUCUAGGACGUUCCUAAAAAAAUUGAUUUUUUCCCAUAGGAAUGCAUGGGUUAGGGUUAGGGUUAGGGUUGGAGCUAGGGCUAGGGUUAGGGUUAGGGUUGGAGUUAGGGUUAGUGUUGGAGCUAGGGUUAGGGUUGGGCUUGGAGCUAGGAUUUUUCUGAGUGCACUGAACCAACUCCCGAGUCUCUAGGACGUUCCUAAAAAAAUUUGAUUUUUUCCCAUAGGAAUGCAUGGGUUAGGGUUAGGGUUAGGGUUAGGGUUGGAGCCAGGGUUAGGGUUGGAGUUAGGGUUAGUGUUGGAGCUAGGGUUAGGGUUGGGCUUGGAGCUAGGAUUUUUCUGAGUGCAAUGAACCAACUCCCGAGUCUCUAGGACGUUCCUAAAAAAAUUUGAUUUUUUCCCAUAGGAAUGCAUGGGUUAGGGUUAGGGUUAGGGUCGGAGCUAGGGUUAGGGUUAGGGUUAGGGUUGGAGUUAGGGUUAGUGUUGGAGCUAGGGUUAGGGUUGGGCUUGGAGCUAGGAUUUUUCUGAGUGCAAUGAACCAACUCCCGAGUCUCUAGGACGUUCCUAAAAAAAUUUGAUUUUUUCCCAUAGUAAUGCAUGGGUUAGGGUUAGGGUUAGGGUUGGAGCUAGGGUUAGGGUUAGGGUUAGGGUUGGAGUUAGGGUUAGUGUUGGAGCUAGGGUUAGGGUUGGGCUUGGAGCUAGGAUUUUUCUGAGUGUAAUGAACCAACUCCCGAGUCUCUAGGACGUUCCUAAAAAAAGUUUAAUUUUUUCCCAUAGGAAUGCAUGGGUUAGGGUUAGGGUUAGUGUCGGAGCUAGGGUUAGGGUUAGGGUUAGGGUUGGAGUUAGGGUUAGUGUUGGAGCUAGGGUUAGGGUUGGGCUUGGAGCUAGGAUUUUUCUGAGUGCAAUGAACAAACUCCCGAGUCUCUAGGACGUUCCUAAAAAAAUUUGAUUUUUUCCCAUAGGAAUGCAUGGGUUAGGGUUAGGGUUAGGGUUGGAGCUAGGGUUAGGGUUAGGGUUAGGGUUGGAAUUAGGGUUAGUGUUGGAGCUAGUGUUAGGGUUGGGCUUGGAGCUAGGAUUUUUCUGAGUGCAAUGAACCAACUCCCAAGUCUCUAGGACGUUCCUAAAAAAAUUUGAUUUUUUCCCAUAGGAAUGCAUGGGUUAGGGUUAGGGUUAGGGUUGGAGCUAGGGUUAGGGUUAGGGUUAGGGUUGGAGUUAGGGUUAGUGUUGGAGCUAGGGUUAGGGUUGGGCUUGGAGCUAGGAUUUUUCUGAGUGCAAUGAACCAACUCCCGAGUCUCUAGGACGUUCCUAAAAUAAUUUGAUUUUUUUCCAUAGGAAUGCAUGAGUUAGGGUUAGGGUUAGGGUUGGAGCUAGGGUUAGGGUUAGGGUUAGGGUUGGAGUUAGGGUUAGUGUUGGAGCUAGAGUUAGGGUUGGGCUAGGAGCUAGGAUUUUUCUGAGUGCACUGAACCAACUCCCGAGUCUCUAGGAUGUUCCUAAAAAAAUUUGAUUUUUUCCCAUAGGAAUGCAUGGGUUAGGGUUAGGGUUAGGGUUGGAGCUAGGGUUAGGGUUAGGGUUAGGGUUGGAAUUAGGGUUAGUGUUGGAGCUAGUGUUAGGGUUGGGCUUGGAGCUAGGAUUUUUCUGAGUGCAAUGAACCAACUCCCGAGUCUCUAGGACGUUCCUUAAAAAAAUUUGAUUUUUUCCCAUAUUAAUGCAUGGGUUAGGGUUAGGGUUAGGGUUGGAGCUAGGGUUAGGGUUAGGGUUAGGGUUGGAGUUAGGGUUAGUGUUGGAGCUAGGGUUAGGGUUGGGCUUGGAGCUAGGAUUUUUCUGAGUGCAAUGAACAAACUCCCGAGUCUCUAGGACGUUCCUAAAAAAAUUUGAUUUUUUCCCAUAGGAAUGCAUGGGUUAGGGUUAGGGUUAGGGUUGGAGCUAGGGUUAGGGUUAGGGUUAGGGUUGGAAUUAGGGUUAGUGUUGGAGCUAGUGUUAGGGUUGGGCUUGGAGCUAGGAUUUUUCUGAGUGCAAUGAACCAACUCCCAAGUCUCUAGGACGUUCCUAAAAAAAUUUGAUUUUUUCCCAUAGGAAUGCAUGGGUUAGGGUUAGGGUUAGGGUUGGAGCUAGGGUUAGGGUUAGGGUUAGGGUUGGAGUUAGGGUUAGUGUUGGAGCUAGGGUUAGGGUUGGGCUUGGAGCUAGGAUUUUUCUGAGUGCAAUGAACCAACUCCCGAGUCUCUAGGACGUUCCUAAAAUAAUUUGAUUUUUUUCCAUAGGAAUGCAUGAGUUAGGGUUAGGGUUAGGGUUGGAGCUAGGGUUAGGGUUAGGGUUAGGGUUGGAGUUAGGGUUAGUGUUGGAGCUAGAGUUAGGGUUGGGCUAGGAGCUAGGAUUUUUCUGAGUGCACUGAACCAACUCCCGAGUCUCUAGGAUGUUCCUAAAAAAAUUUGAUUUUUUCCCAUAGGAAUGCAUGGGUUAGGGUUAGGGUUAGGGUUGGAGCUAGGGUUAGGGUUAGGGUUAGGGUUGGAAUUAGGGUUAGUGUUGGAGCUAGGGUUAGGGUUGGGCUUGGAGCUAGGAUUUUUCUGAGUGCAAUGAACCAACUCCCGAGUCUCUAGGACGUUCCUUAAAAAAAUUUGAUUUUUUCCCAUAUUAAUGCAUGGGUUAGGGUUAGGGUUAGGGUUGGAGCUAGGGUUAGGGUUAGGGUUAGGGUUGGAGUUAGGGUUAGUGUUGGAGCUAGGGUUAGGGUUGGGCUUGGAGCUAGGAUUUUUCUGAGUGCAAUGAACCAACUCCCGAGUCUCUAGGACGUUCCUAAAAAAAUUUGAUUUUUUCCCAUAGGAAUGCAUGGGUUAGGGUUAGGGUUAGGGUUGGAGCUAGGGUUAGGGUUAGGGUUAGGGUUAGGGUUGGAGUUAGGGUUAGUGUUGGAGCUAGGGUUAGGGUUGGGCUUGGAGCUAGGAUUUUUCUGAGUGCAAUGAACCAACUCCCGAGUCUCUAGGACGUUCCUAAAAAAAUUUGAUUUUUUCCCAUAGGAAUGCAUGGGUUAGGGUUAGGGUUAGGGUUGGAGCUAGGGUUAGGGUUAGGGUUAGGGUUGGAGUUAGGGUUAGUGUUGGAGCUAGGGUUAGGCUUGGAGCUAGGAUUUUUCUGAGUGCACUGAACCAACUCCCGAGUCUCUAGGACGUUCCUAAAAAAAUUUGAUUUUUUCCCAUAGUAAUGCAUGGGUUAGGGUUAGGGUUAGGGUUGGAGCUAGGGUUAGGGUUAGGGUUAGGGUUGGAGUUAGGGUUAGUGUUGGAGCUAGGGUUAGGGUUGGGCUUGGAGCUAGGAUUUUUCUGAGUGCAAUGAACCAACUCCCGAGUCUCUAGGACGUUCCUAAAAAAAUUUGAUUUUUUCCCAUAGGAAUGCAUGGGUUAGGGUUAGGGUUAGGGUUUGAGCUAGGGUUAGGGUUAGGGUUAGGGUUGGAGUUAGGGUUAGUGUUGGAGCUAGGGUUAGGGUUGGGCUUGGAGCUAGGAUUUUUCUGAGUGCACUGAACCAACUCCCGAGUCUCUAGGACGUUCCUAAAAAAAUUUGAUUUUUUCCCAUAGGAAUGCAUGGGUUAGGGUUAGGGUUAGGGUUAGGGUUUGAGCCAGGGUUAGGGUUGGAGUUAGGGUUAGUGUUGGAGCUAGGGUUAGGGUUGGGCUUGGAGCUAGGAUUUUUCUGAGUGCAAUGAACCAACUCCCGAGUCUCUAGGACGUUCCUAAAAAAAUUUGAUUUUUUCCCAUAGGAAUGCAUGGGUUAGGGUUAGGGUUAGGGUUGGAGCUAGGGUUAGGGUUAGGGUUAGGGUUGGAGUUAGGGUUAGUGUUGGAGCUAGGGUUAGGGUUGGGCUUGGAGCUAGGAUUUUUCUGAGUGCAAUGAACCAACUCCCGAGUCUCUAGGACGUUCCUAAAAAAAUUUGAUUUUUUCCCAUAGUAAUGCAUGGGUUAGGGUUAGGGUUAGGGUUGGAGCUAGGGUUAGGGUUAGGGUUAGGGUUGGAGUUAGGGUUAGUGUUGGAGCUAGGGUUAGGGUUGGGCUUGGAGCUAGGAUUUUUCUGAGUGCAAUGAACCAACUCCCGAGUCUCUAGGACGUUCCUAAAAAAAGUUUAAUUUUUUCCCAUAGGAAUGCAUGGGUUAGGGUUAGGGUUAGUGUCGGAGCUAGGGUUAGGGUUAGGGUUAGGGUUGGAGUUAGGGUUAGUGUUGGAGCUAGGGUUAGGGUUGGGCUUGGAGCUAGGAUUUUUCUGAGUGCAAUGAACAAACUCCCGAGUCUCUAGGACGUUCCUAAAAAAAUUUGAUUUUUUCCCAUAGGAAUGCAUGGGUUAGGGUUAGGGUUAGGGUUGGAGCUAGGGUUAGGGUUAGGGUUAGGGUUGGAAUUAGGGUUAGUGUUGGAGCUAGGGUUAGGGUUGGGCUUGGAGCUAGGAUUUUUCUGAGUGCAAUGAACCAACUCCCAAGUCUCUAGGACGUUCCUAAAAAAAUUUGAUUUUUUCCCAUAGGAAUGCAUGGGUUAGGGUUAGGGUUAGGGUUGGAGCUAGGGUUAGGGUUAGGGUUAGGGUUGGAGUUAGGGUUAGUGUUGGAGCUAGGGUUAGGGUUGGGCUUGGAGCUAGGAUUUUUCUGAGUGCAAUGAACCAACUCCCGAGUCUCUAGGACGUUCCUAAAAUAAUUUGAUUUUUUUCCAUAGGAAUGCAUGAGUUAGGGUUAGGGUUAGGGUUGGAGCUAGGGUUAGGGUUAGGGUUAGGGUUGGAGUUAGGGUUAGUGUUGGAGCUAGGGUUAGGGUUGGGCUUGGAGCUAGGAUUUUUCUGAGUGCACUGAACCAACUCCCGAGUCUCUAGGACGUUCCUAAAAAAAUUGGAUUUUUUCCCAUAGGAAUGCAUGGGUUAGGGUUGGAGCUAGGGUUAGGGUUAGGGUUAGGGUUGGAGUUAGGGUUAGUGUUGGAGCUAGGGUUAGGGUUGGGCUUGGAGCUAGGAUUUUUCUGAGUGCAAUGAACCAACUCCUGAGUCUCUAGGACGUUCCUAAAAAAAUUUGAUUUUUUCCCAUAGGAAUGCAUGGGUUAGGGUUAGGGUUAGGGUUGGAGCUAGGGUUAGGGUUAGGGUUAGGGUUGGAGCUAGGGUUAGGGUUGGAGCUAGGGUUAGGGUUGGGGUUGGAGCUAGGAUUUUUCUGAGUCCAAUGAACCAACUCCCGAGUCUCUAGGACGUUCCUCAAAAAAGUUUUUAUGCCCACAGUGCCAUAACUACCAUAAAACUGGUUUGUUGAUCAUGGUAUUGCUAUGCAUGAUUGGCCAGGCAACUAGCCUGACCUGAAAUCCUUAGAGAAUCUGUGAGGUAUUGUCAUGAGAUAGAUCCAACAAUACAGAACCAGAACCGACAAUACAGACCAACUGAAAGAGGUAUCAAAGUGAGUUGGGCUUCUACUACACCCCUGCAGAGCCAUAGACUGAUCAUCUCUGUGGGACAUCCAUAAACUGUAUAUAGAAUGGACUAUAGCGUCUGCCUCCUUGCUGGGUGAAGCCACCCCGAGAACAGCACCCUCUGUUGAUGGGCUGCAGUAUAGGUCAUAAAUCCCGCCUCCGCCAGCAAAGCUUAAGUGGAUAUGUGGAUAUACUUUAGAAAUUUAUUACACAGAACAUACAUUUUUCUCCCCCCUGCUUGCAAUGUUGACAUGUAGUUACAGUAAGACUGGUUUGUGCUCAAGUCCUCUUUUUUCUGUGAAGCUCCGUUUUUAAAAGUUAUUAGGGGAUUCAUGUUUUCUUUGAUUGACACCUGAUACAGCCUAUGGGCGUUCAGGGAUUGCGUAGCUCACACGGGGGAUGCGCUGUUUGAGCCAAGCGUCAUCACAGCGACACUCGGCGACUCUCAUGCUGAAUGCGCUCAACGCUACUGCGCAAUGCUGGUUUCAGGAAAUGAAGAAAAAUCGUGGAAAUACUGAGAGCUUUUUGGCUUCAAAUCCGUAUACAGGCGGGAGGCGGGGCCAAGUUGUCCAUAUUAUAUACAGUCUAUGGGGACGUCACAUUGAUGCUGUAAUUCAUGCAAAAGGAACCUUGACCAAGUACUGAGAACAUAAAGAAACAUCAUUUUCUAAGGUCAGCAUUUCUCAAAUGCAGCACUUACUGGAAUGUCAUCCCUCUCUCCUCUAGAUCCUUGCUCAUGUUGUACCUACUCUCAGAUGUAUGUUUCCUUGGACAUAUGUGUCUCUUAUGAAAUUGUAAAGAUAUUGAUCAUAAUUGAGAUUUGCAUACAGCAUCCAUUUUGAAUGUAUUUGUUUCUGUCCUUUUUGUAGCCUCUUUUGAUGAAAUCCUUUUAUGCCACUUUGUUUAUGUGUUUGUGCUGGCACAAUAUGCUGGCACAAAAUAGAAGAACAAAAGCCAACAACACACACAAUGCCUUCUGUUGCGCUACAGUGGAUUUAUUACAGUGUUCACACACACUCAAAGAAUGAUCUGGACUCAUAUAAUCAACAAUGAGACAGUUAAUCCUCAGGAGAAAUACCAAUGUUAUAAUUCAUUACAGCUGAAAUAAGAGCACUAACAAGGCUUAUGUAUGUUUUUUUUUAGCUGGAGGUUGAGAAGCUGAGAAAAUGCAGCUUUGUUGUUAUUGUUGGACCAUCCUCUGGUAUAUAGAGACCAACAAAAGAUUCCUGGAAAUUCAUCCUUUUUUUCUGGGUUAACCUUUUUUUUCAUCCUUUUCAUCAAAAAUAUGAGAUUGACCUCCUUAUUGUCCGUGAAGGAUAUUCCCAAUCAACAUAAAUGGAUUAAAAUUGCAUUCAUACCCCUCUUAUCUAUUUGCCUUUGGUUUAGUUAUAUUCAUGGCCCCCCUUGCCAAUUUCCAGUGUCACCUCAGCACUCAGAGAACUGUAACUGGGCUGUCGCUUAAAAUCAGCUGCAGGGAUGAAAUUCCAUUUUCCCCCCCUAACUACUGGAGCUCCUGCAUUCUGAGCGGGAUAAUGAAAAUCCACUUAUAGAGUAAACCUUAACGUGUGCGGAGAAAAGGAAGCUCACCCCAUCAUUUAGUUGUUUGCAAAUUCUCCAUGAUGGGAGGAAUAAUAAAACCCUAUCUCAGUCCAAGAGGCAUAACAUGAAUGUUAAGGUGCACACAUGGGCACUUCACAUUCACAUUUAGAUCCAGGGGAUUUUGGACUAUGUUAAAGAGAGGCAGGCGUGAUUUGCAGCUCAUCAGAAACCCUGCAUGCACUACAGCCGAGAGGAUAUCUCACAGCGCAAAGUGUCUCUAGCUUUCUGAGGGCUGUAACUGGAUUUCACAAUGGCAAUCUAAUAGAAAAUGACAAGACAGAGGUAAUGAAAGCAAUCAUCUAUCAAAUAUUUGUGCAAUCCUGCCCUCAAAGUUAUCUUUCGAGACCAAUUUUUUUCUUGCUCGGCACAACAUCUCCCUCAUUCAUGUCUGGUGAUGACAAACUUAGCACUUUGGGAAUUAUAAGCCUUUGGAGAAUAUUCCACACUCUGCAAUUCUGUCACUUUUGCUUACUGGGGAAAGACAGGAGAGCAAUAGAUAAAGAAUAUUUGGCUAUAUAUCCCUUUAUUGCUAGUUUGCUCCAAAGCUAUAGGUGAAGUCACUUAAGUCUAUAACACUCCCAUAGACUGCAGCUUACUUUUGCGGCUCAAGGAAGAAUAUUUAUGAUUAUUACUUCAUGGAAAUGCAAUCGGAGUUCUACCGUAUCUUGUAUGUGCACUGCAGUCGCUGUAGUCCCCCCCACCCCCCACCCACCCAGACAUCAAAAAAGGUUACCUUCAGCUCAAAAUAAGGUUCAGAUGGUAGAAAGUAAAGUUGAAAAGGUAAGAUAAAUGAAGAUAAAGUUCAUUUCAAUUAAAUCCCCGGAGGAAAUAAGUUAAACUUAACUAGAGAGUGUUGCAAUGAACAAGUUAAAAUACAGUGGUGGCCAAAAUUAUUAGAACACCUGACAGAAAUGAAAACAUUGAACUUUUUUUUGCCUCCAAAACAUGAUUUCCUUUCAAAAUGUUCAUGAUGCAUGCAGAUGGUUGCUCUGAGCACAACAAAUAUCAGAUUAAGUGAGUCCUACUGUUUUUAUCCACUUUUAACUUUAAUAUUUGGUAUGUCCACCUUUUGCAGCAAUUACAGCAGCACAUCUCUCUGGCAUAGUGUCAAUAUAUUUCUUGAGAACUUGAACACUAAUAUUAUCCCAUGCCUUCUGCAACUCAAGCCAAAGGCUUUCCUUUGAAUGUACAAUAGAUCUGUCCAGUUUAUUUUCCAACUCGCCCCAAAUUUGCUCAAUGGGGUUGAGGUCCGGACUUUGAGGGGGCCAGUCCAUCAUUUUCAAUGUUCCAGCAGAUUCCUUCUGUCGCAGGUAGUUCCGGCAAUACUUAGAAGAAUGUUUAGGGUCGUUGUCCUCUUGGAAAAUAAAUCCAGGCCCAAUAAGACGACUCCCAGAUGGUACUCCGUGCCUCACCAGAAUGUUGUGGUAUACUUUCUUAUCCAUGAUGCCAUCAAUUUUCACUAAGUCACCUGUUCCUGAGGCUGCAAUGGCACCCCACACCAUAAUACUACCCCCUCCGUGUUUAACUGUUGGCAAGAGACACUCAUUUUUAUAUCUCUCCCCCUCCCUCCGUCGAACAUACACUCUUCGCUUGUUGCCAAACUGUUCAAAUUUGGACUCAUCAGUCCACAACACUUUAUACCAAUCUCCCUUUGUCCAUUUCUUGUGUUCUUUAGCGAAUUUCAGGCGUUUCACUCUAUUUUUCUCUCUCAGUAAUGGUUUCUUUGCUGCUAUUCUGCCAACAAGUCCUUCUUCUCCCAGUUUCCGACGCACAGUUCUUGAAGACACUGUUGCACCAUUAGUCAUUGUGGUGUUGAUCUCGUCACGCAGUUCUCGUGAGGUCUUUCUUCGGUCCUUAAGACUGAGAAUUUUGAGAUGCUUCACUUGUCUGUCAGAAAGUUUCUUUUUUCUACCUCUCCCCUUUCGGUUCUGGUGUGAAUUGGUGGCAUCAUGGCGGUCUAAAGUGUACUUUACAGUGCUUGGACUGCAUCUCAAGUCCUUGGCUAUGCGGCGGUAACUCCAGCCAGCAUCAAAAAGGGCCUUUAUUCGAACCCGCUGCUCACUCGUUAAUUCCUUCUUCACCUUAGCCAUGUUCAAAGAGCAACAUGAGCUUCAAGACUACUUCUAGAGGCUUUGAAUUUAUACCAAUUGGUGGUGUGGCCUCAGUGACAAAACCCUCAUGUUACCAAUCACUUAAUGAGCAGGAUAGGCCUUGUACGUUCAAAAGAAUCACACAGCUGUGUCCUAAGACUUGCAUCACCAUCAAUUUAACCACGAUCACACCUGAGAAGGAUUACACAAGUAAUUUGGCUGCUUCUGUGAAGGAACAUGAUUGUGUGACACUGACAGGCCUUGCUUGUUUUUUGUAUGGAAAAUGACCUAAAUCUCCUUAUGAUGGCUCUAUUCUAGGGUUUAUAGAGCAAAAUGAUGACUUUGUAGAUAUUUAAUUUGUUUUAUGGGUAUUUUAAUGGCCAACUCAACAAAAACAACUGAAAAUUCUUAAAUAUGCCAAGUGUUCUAAUAAUUUUGGCCACCACUGUACAUUAAAAAAAUAUAUAUAUGAAAUUCUUAAAAAACUGUUUCCAACAGUUCACUUUAUUCAGCCUUGAGAUACAUGACUUUCUUAACUUUUCACUCUGAUAA
rnacentral:lncRNA from 1 species